rnacentral:rRNA from 1 species
UACGGAGGGGGCUAGCGUUAUUCGGAAUUAUUGGGCGUAAAGGGCGCGUAGGCGGCCUGGUAAGUCAAAGGUGAAAUCCCUCGGCUCAACUGAGGAACUGCCUUUGAAACUGUCGGGCUUGAGGCCGGGAGGGGGUAGCGGAAUUCCCAGUGUAGCGGUGAAAUGCGUAGAUACUGGGAGGAACACCAGUGGCGAAGGCGGCUACCUGGACCGGUUCUGACGCUGAUGCGCGAAAGCGUGGGUAGCAAACAGG